GACGAACGCUGGCGGCGUGCUUAACACAUGCAAGUCGAACGAUGAACCCGGAGCUUGCUCUGGGGGAUUAGUGGCGAACGGGUGAGUAACACGUGAGUAACCUGCCCUGGACUCUGGGAUAAGCGUUGGAAACGACGUCUAAUACCGGAUAGGACCUUGGAUCGCAUGAUCUGGGGUGGAAAGUUUUUUCGGUCUGGGAUGGACUCGCGGCCUAUCAGCUUGUUGGUGAGGUAAUGGCUCACCAAGGCGUCGACGGGUAGCCGGCCCGAGAGGGUGACCGGCCACACUGGGACUGAGACACGGCCCAGACUCCUACGGGAGGCAGCAGUGGGGAAUAUUGCACAAUGGGCGAAAGCCUGAUGCAGCAACGCCGCGUGCGGGAUGACGGCCUUCGGGUUGUAAACCGCUUUUAGUAGGGAAGAAGGGCUUCGGCUUGACGGUACCUGCAGAAAAAGGACCGGCUAACUACGUG
rnacentral:rRNA from 1 species